GGACUACCGGGGUUUCUAAUCCCGUUUGCUCCCCUAGCUUUCGCGCCUCAGCGUCAGAAGAGAUCCAGCCCGUCGCUUUCGCCACCGGCGUUCCUUCCGAUAUCAACGCAUUUCACCGCUCCACCGGAAGUUCCACAGGCCCCUACCUCCCUCAAGACAGCCAGUAUCCACGGCUAUUUUCCGGUUGAGCCGAAAGAUUUCACCACAGACUUGGCUGCCCGCCUACGCGCCCUUUAAGCCCAGUGAUUCCGAACAACGUUUGCACGGUUCGUCUUACCGCGGCGGCUGGCAC
rnacentral:rRNA from 3 species